AUUGAAAGCUGGCGGCAGGCCUAACACAUGCAAGUCGAGCGAGCGGCGGACGGGUGAGUAAUGUAUGGGGACUGCCCGAUAGAGGGGGAUAACUACUGGAAACGGUGGCUAAUACCGCAUAAUGUCGGAUAACCCAUAUGGGACUAGCUAGUGGGUAAGGUAAUGGCUUACCUAGGCGACGAUCCCUAGCUGGUCUGAGAGGAUGAUCCGCCACACUGGGAGUGAGACACGGCGCAGACUCCUACGGAGGCAGCAGUGUGGAAUAUUGCACAAUGGGCGCAAGCCUGAUGCAGCCAUGCCGCGUGUAUGAAGAAGGCCCUAGGGUUGUAAAGUACGUUCAGUCGGGAGGCGUUACCGACAGAAGAAGCACCGGCUAACUCCGUGCCAGCAGCCGCGGUAAUUG
rnacentral:rRNA from 1 species